rnacentral:rRNA from 1 species
AGAGUUUGAUCCUGGCUCAGGAUGAACGCUGGCGGCGUGCCUAAUACAUGCAAGUCGAGCGAACGGACGAGAAGCUUGCUUCUCUGAUGUUAGCGGCGGACGGGUGAGUAACACGUGGAUAACCUACCUAUAAGACUGGGAUAACUUCGGGAAACCGUAGCUAAUACCGGAUGAUAUUUUGAACCGCAUGGUUCAAAAGUGAAAGACGGUCUUGCUGUCACUUAUAGAUGGAUCCGCGCUGCAUUAGCUAGUUGGUAAGGUAACGGCUUACCAAGGCAACGAUGCAUAGCCGACCUGAGAGGGUGAUCGGCCACACUGGAACUGAGACACGGUCCAGACUCCUACGGGAGGCAGCAGUAGGGAAUCUUCCGCAAUGGGCGAAAGCCUGACGGAGCAACGCCGCGUGAGUGAUGAAGGUCUUCGGAUCGUAAAACUCUGUUAUUAGGGAAGAACAUAUGUGUAAGUAACUGUGCACAUCUUGACGGUACCUAAUCAGAAAGCCACGGCUAACUACGUGCCAGCAGCCGCGGUAAUACGUAGGUGGCAAGCGUUAUCCGGAAUUAUUGGGCGUAAAGCGCGCGUAGGCGGUUUUUUAAGUCUGAUGUGAAAGCCCACGGCUCAACCGUGGAGGGUCAUUGGAAACUGGAAAACUUGAGUGCAGAAGAGGAAAGUGGAAUUCCAUGUGUAGCGGUGAAAUGCGCAGAGAUAUGGAGGAACACCAGUGGCGAAGGCGACUUUCUGGUCUGUAACUGACGCUGAUGUGCGAAAGCGUGGGGAUCAAACAGGAUUAGAUACCCUGGUAGUCCACGCCGUAAACGAUGAGUGCUAAGUGUUAGGGGGUUUCCGCCCCUUAGUGCUGCAGCUAACGCAUUAAGCACUCCGCCUGGGGAGUACGACCGCAAGGUUGAAACUCAAAGGAAUUGACGGGGACCCGCACAAGCGGUGGAGCAUGUGGUUUAAUUCGAAGCAACGCGAAGAACCUUACCAAAUCUUGACAUCCUUUGACAACUCUAGAGAUAGAGCCUUCCCCUUCGGGGGACAAAGUGACAGGUGGUGCAUGGUUGUCGUCAGCUCGUGUCGUGAGAUGUUGGGUUAAGUCCCGCAACGAGCGCAACCCUUAAGCUUAGUUGCCAUCAUUAAGUUGGGCACUCUAAGUUGACUGCCGGUGACAAACCGGAGGAAGGUGGGGAUGACGUCAAAUCAUCAUGCCCCUUAUGAUUUGGGCUACACACGUGCUACAAUGGACAAUACAAAGGGCAGCGAAACCGCGAGGUCAAGCAAAUCCCAUAAAGUUGUUCUCAGUUCGGAUUGUAGUCUGCAACUCGACUACAUGAAGCUGGAAUCGCUAGUAAUCGUAGAUCAGCAUGCUACGGUGAAUACGUUCCCGGGUCUUGUACACACCGCCCGUCACACCACGAGAGUUUGUAACACCCGAAGCCGGUGGAGUAACCUUUUAGGAGCUAGCCGUCGAAGGUGGGACAAAUGAUUGGGGUGAAGUCGUAACAAGGUAGCCGUAUCGGAAGGUGCGGCUGGAUCACCU